rnacentral:rRNA from 1 species
GACGAACGCUGGCGGCGUGCUUAACACAUGCAAGUCGAACGGAGAGGCCCUGCUUUUGUGUGGUGCAUGAGUGGCGAACGGGUGAGUAACACGUGAGUAACCUGCCCUUGACUUUGGGAUAACUUCUGGAAACUGCGUCUAAUACCGGAUAGGAGCUCCUGCUGCAUGGUGGGGAUUGGAAAGUUAUGGCGGUAGGGGAUGGGCUCGCGGCCUAUCAGCUUGUUGGUGGGGUAAUGGCUUACCAAGGCGUCGACGGGUAGCCGGCCUGAGAGGGUGACCGGCCACACUGGGACUGAGACACGGCCCAGACUCCUACGGGAGGCAGCAGUGGGGAAUAUUGCACAAUGGGCGAAAGCCUGAUGCAGCAACGCCGCGUGAGGGACGACGGCCUUCGGGUUGUAAACCGCUUUUAGCAGGGAAGAAGCGAAAGUGACGGUAACUGCAGAAAAAGCGCCGGCUAACUACGUG